AUGUUGCUUUCACUUUCUGUUCCAGCUUUCUGUUUAGUCCUCUGCAUCCCGUGUCCAUGGACGUGGAAAUCUAUCGCUUCAAGAAAUGGACAAAUUACAUAUUUUGGUACCAGAAUCGCUGUUUUGAAAUCAGGGGCCUGUGGCUUCACUAUUACUGGGACACGGAUGACGUUGGCAAUGUCAUACGUGGCAGCAUGAAUCUCAAGAAUGCCACAGCAUGGAGGGUCAAUGAGAAAAAGCUGCAUUUGUCUAACCAUAGUUUAAUAUACUACCUCAAGUCAGACAGUAAGAAGGACAUGGAUAUCUUUGUCAGGAAGCUUAAGGAAUUAAAUGUCGUCAUCACUGACAGCUAGUGGAGAAGCAUCUUGUGCCUAACAAUGUGUUAAUUUUUUUUCAUUGUGAAAAAAUAAUUUCAUUAGAAGGACUAUAUCAAUUGCCAGUGACUGCUCAAACUGUGGAAAUAUCAAAGUAUUUUAAAUUGUCUGUUGUUGCACUGUUAAAAGAAAAUAUUACCCAUCUUGUGCUGCUUGUUUGCAAGAUAGCAAUGAAACGUCACAACGUGUGUUGGAACAUUUAGGAGCUUGGAACAUUUAGGAACUGAACUACAAGAAAAUGUUUUCAGCUUUGAAAAUGUAAUAUUUGCAGCUGAAGAUGCCAACAUUGCCUUUGGAGAAACUCUGUGUAUAGUAUACUAUUAUUUGAAAGCAGGACUGAACACACACACUGUAUAAGCAAUGCAAAUACUAUUUGAGUUUGAAUGUUUUCA